AGUGAACGCUGGCGGCAGGCCUAACACAUGCAAGUCGAGCGGCAGCGGGUCCUUCGGGAUGCCGGCGAGCGGCGGACGGGUGAGGAAUGCGUCGGAAUCUGCCUUUUUGUGGGGGAUAACGUAGGGAAACUUACGCUAAUACCGCAUACGACCUACGGGUGAAAGUGGGGGACCGCAAGGCCUCACGCGGAAAGAUGAGCCGACGUCGGAUUAGCUAGUUGGCGGGGUAAAGGCCCACCAAGGCGACGAUCCGUAGCUGGUCUGAGAGGAUGAUCAGCCACACUGGAACUGAGACACGGUCCAGACUCCUACGGGAGGCAGCAGUGGGGAAUAUUGGACAAUGGGCGAAAGCCUGAUCCAGCCAUGCCGCGUGUGUGAAGAAGGCCUUCGGGUUGUAAAGCACUUUUGUCCGGAAAGAAAUCCUGUCGGCUAAUACCCGGCGGGGAUGACGGUACCGGAAGAAUAAGCACCGGCUAACUUCGUG
rnacentral:rRNA from 1 species